rnacentral:lncRNA from 1 species
UCUGAUUUCAGCUCCCUACUUGCCUAUAAAUACACUUCACUUUCUUCAGUUUUAAAUCACUUCCUUUUCUCUGCAUUCUGAGAAAACUGCUUCUUUCCUUCUCUUAUUUUUCCUUCUUCGAAAAUUAUUUUGUUGUUUCAUAUUUUGAACGGUUGUAAACCGUAGAAUUGAUAUUCGCAUAUCAAUUAGAGUGGUUCGAACUUUUCGACCAUACUUGGUGUUAUUCUGGCCGAUACUACAGUGCAGUAGUUUAUCGGUAUUUCCUUUGAAAAUGGCUGUUUUAUCCUGGGGACUUCGCGGUUGAUAUACUACAGUGCACUUCUUCGAGUAGUUCCGCGAAACGUCUUAAAGAAAGCGACCUAGUACGCGACUCAGCCAAUAAUUUGUUUCGUUGCCAAUUUUGAAAAUUCGUUUUUC